rnacentral:rRNA from 1 species
AGAGUUUGAUCCUGGCUCAGGAUGAACGCUAGCUACAGGCUUAACACAUGCAAGUCGAGGGGCAGCAUGGUCUUAGCUUGCUAAGGCCGAUGGCGACCGGCGCACGGGUGAGUAACACGUAUCCAACCUGCCGUCUACUCUUGGACAGCCUUCUGAAAGGAAGAUUAAUACAAGAUGGCAUCAUGAGUCCGCAUGUUCACAUGAUUAAAGGUAUUCCGGUAGACGAUGGGGAUGCGUUCCAUUAGAUAGUAGGCGGGGUAGCGGCCCACCUAGUCUUCGAUGGAUAGGGGUUCUGAGAGGAAGGUCCCCCACAUUGGAACUGAGACACGGUCCAAACUCCUACGGGAGGCAGCAGUGAGGAAUAUUGGUCAAUGGGCGAGAGCCUGAACCAGCCAAGUAGCGUGAAGGAUGACUGCCCUAUGGGUUGUAAACUUCUUUUAUAAAGGAAUAAAGUCGGGUAUGGAUACCCGUUUGCAUGUACUUUAUGAAUAAGGAUCGGCUAACUCCGUGCCAGCAGCCGCGGUAAUACGGAGGAUCCGAGCGUUAUCCGGAUUUAUUGGGUUUAAAGGGAGCGUAGAUGGAUGUUUAAGUCAGUUGUGAAAGUUUGCGGCUCAACCGUAAAAUUGCAGUUGAUACUGGAUAUCUUGAGUGCAGUUGAGGCAGGCGGAAUUCGUGGUGUAGCGGUGAAAUGCUUAGAUAUCACGAAGAACUCCAAUUGCGAAGGCAGCCUGCUAAGCUGCAACUGACAUUGAGGCUCGAAAGUGUGGGUAUCAAACAGGAUUAGAUACCCUGGUAGUCCACACGGUAAACGAUGAAUACUCGCUGUUUGCGAUAUACUGCAAGCGGCCAAGCGAAAGCGUUAAGUAUUCCACCUGGGGAGUACGCCGGCAACGGUGAAACUCAAAGGAAUUGACGGGGGCCCGCACAAGCGGAGGAACAUGUGGUUUAAUUCGAUGAUACGCGAGGAACCUUACCCGGGCUUAAAUUGCAGAUGAAUUACGGUGAAAGCCGUAAGCCGCAAGGCAUCUGUGAAGGUGCUGCAUGGUUGUCGUCAGCUCGUGCCGUGAGGUGUCGGCUUAAGUGCCAUAACGAGCGCAACCCUUGUUGUCAGUUACUAACAGGUUCUGCUGAGGACUCUGACAAGACUGCCAUCGUAAGAUGUGAGGAAGGUGGGGAUGACGUCAAAUCAGCACGGCCCUUACGUCCGGGGCUACACACGUGUUACAAUGGGGGGUACAGAGGGCCGCUACCACGCGAGUGGAUGCCAAUCCCAAAAACCUCUCUCAGUUCGGACUGGAGUCUGCAACCCGACUCCACGAAGCUGGAUUCGCUAGUAAUCGCGCAUCAGCCACGGCGCGGUGAAUACGUUCCCGGGCCUUGUACACACCGCCCGUCAAGCCAUGGGAGCCGGGGGUACCUGAAGUGCGUAACCGCGAGGAGCGCCCUAGGGUAAAACUGGUGACUGGGGCUAAGUCGUAACAAGGUAGCCG